rnacentral:rRNA from 1 species
CGCACGGGUGCGUAACGCGUAUGCAACCUACCAUCAACAGGGGGAUAACACUGAGAAAUUGGUACUAAUACCCCAUAAUAUCUCAUGCGGCAUCGCAUGGGGUUGAAAACUCCGGUGGUUGAUGAUGGGCAUGCGUUGUAUUAGCUGGUUGGUGAGGUAACGGCUCACCAAGGCGACGAUACAUAGGGGGACUGAGAGGUUAACCCCCCACAUUGGUACUGAGACACGGUCCAAACUCCUACGGAAGGCAGCAG